rnacentral:rRNA from 1 species
GCUUGUCUCAAAGAUUAAGCCAUGCAUGUCUAAGUAUAAACACCUUUAUACUGUGAAACUGCGUACAGCUCAUUAAAUCAGUAAUAAUUUAUUUGAUGGUGACUUACUACAUGGAUAACCGUAGUAACCUAGAGCUAAUACAUGCACAAAAUCCCGACUUCACGGAAGGGAUGUAUUUAUUAGAUAAAAAACCAAUCCGGGCAACCGGUCCUUUGGUGAUUCAUGAUAACUUUGCGAAUCGCAUAGCUUUAAUGCUGGCGAUGGGUCAUUCAAAUUUCUGCCCUAUCAACUUUCGACGGUAGGAUAGAGGCCUACUGUGGUGAUAACGGGUAACGAAGAAUAAGGGUUCGAUUUCGGAGAGGGAGCCUGAGAAACGGCUACCACAUCCAAGGAAGGCAGCAGG